GAUGAACGCUAGCUACAGGCUUAACACAUGCAAGUCGAGGGGAAACGAUAGAGAAAGCUUGCUUUUUCUAGGCGUCGACCGGCGCACGGGUGAGUAACGCGUAUCCAACCUGCCCAUCACUUGGGGAUAACCUUGCGAAAGUAAGACUAAUACCCAAUGACGUCUCUAGAAGACAUCUGAAAGAGAUUAAAGAUUUAUCGGUGAUGGAUGGGGAUGCGUCUGAUUAGCUUGUUGGCGGGGUAACGGCCCACCAAGGCGACGAUCAGUAGGGGUUCUGAGAGGAAGGUCCCCCACAUUGGAACUGAGACACGGUCCAAACUCCUACGGGAGGCAGCAGUGAGGAAUAUUGGUCAAUGGACGAGAGUCUGAACCAGCCAAGUAGCGUGCAGGAUGACGGCCCUAUGGGUUGUAAACUGCUUUUAUAAGGGAAUAAAGUGAGUCUCGU
rnacentral:rRNA from 1 species